AACGAACGCUGGCGGCGCGCCUAAUACAUGCAAGUCGAGCGAGAAGGUGUAGCAAUACACUUGUAAAGCGGCGAACGGGUGAGGAAUACAUGGGUAAUCUACCAUCGAGUGGGGAAUAACCAGCCGAAAGGUUGGCUAAUACCGCGUACGCUUCCGAGUCUUCGGGCUUGGAAGGAAAGCCGCACUGUGAGUGCGGCGCUCUUUGAUGAGCUCAUGUCCUAUCAGCUUGUUGGUAGGGUAACGGCCUACCAAGGCUUUGACGGGUAGCUGGUCUGAGAGGACGAUCAGCCACACUGGCACUGCGACACGGGCCAGACUCCUACGGGAGGCAGCAGUAAGGAAUAUUGCGCAAUGGGCGAAAGCCUGACGCAGCGACGCCGCGUGGGGGAUGAAGGUCUUCGGAUUGUAAACCCCUUUCGGGAGGGAAGAUGGAGCGAGCAAUCGUUCGGACGGUACCUCCAGAAGCAGCCACGGCCAACUUCGUGCCAGCAG
rnacentral:rRNA from 1 species